UCACGACGUUGUAAAACGACGUUAUGCAUGAACGUAAUGUUGGUCACGACGUUGUAAAACGACGUUAUGCAUGAACGUAAUGCUCAUAAUUUCCCUCUGGACUUAGCUGCUAUUGAAGCUCCAUCUACAAAUGGAUAAAACCCUAGUACUAGGAUGAGUGUAUACAAGUUUUUGAACUAAUUUGAACUGAACUAAAAAGGGGGCAGUAUUGCCCCCCUUUUCUGAUUUUUACUUUAGUACUAUUUGGAUUCUAUAUAAAAGAAAAAGUUCAAUAAGCGAAUUUAAAUUAAAUAAGUAAGUAAUUUGAUGCGUGUCUUGUGUUUUCGUUUUGUAUUCAUUUACAUUCUAAAAAUUAGAAAGAUUUAAUAUGUUUGAAAUAGAUAAUAUUAAAAUAUAGAAUAGAUUAAUUUACUAUUAAUCGAUAUAGUUAAUAGAUAGAGUACUAUACAGUUAAUACCCCCACGACUUUAAAAACAACUUUA
rnacentral:misc_RNA from 1 species